rnacentral:lncRNA from 1 species
AACAAGGUGAAAGUUGACAAUCCAAGAAAAUGAUAAGCAUUUUAUUUGGGAAACAGGAGAUAUGAAAUAACUCAACCCUACUUUUGUUUCUUAUUAUUAAACAUCAAUUUCUAAUAAGAUGCAGAGACCAAUACAAGUAUGGAUUUACGGACAGCCCUUGUCCAAUGCUAUCAGCUAAGAAGACCAGUGAUUACAGAUGAAAAUGAUUCCAGUUUCAAAAUACACAGGUGAUGAAUGAAAAGGGGGGAAAAAAAUCAAACCAGGGAGUCCUGGUUCUGGUCAAGUUAAUUUUACACUGUUAAAAGGGCCGAAAGUAUGACUUUUAUAGAGCACCAAUAUUUGAUAUUCAAAUAGGGCAUAUAAAAGACACCUAAAUAUAUGAAAAGAAUUUCUGAUAUCUACUUAAUAGCAAGAUGCUUGCUGGUGAAAUACACCCAGGUUUCACUGGACUGUUACCAUAUUAUUUAUCAAACUAAGGAAUCUGAUCGACUUUAUAACACAACCAUAAAUAUCUCAUUAAAAAGAGAAUAAUUCUGUCAUUUCAAACCUAGGCAUCCAGAGGCAGCCAAAUAUCCAGAUACUUGGCACCCUUUAUACAAAAUGAAAGUGUCUAGCACUGAGCCUUGCAUACAGUAAGUGCUUAAUAAGUGGACGAACGAACACACAAAGAUUGGGAUAAUGAAGUUUUUCACAUAGAUGUCUAUGAAUAAUUCUAAGCAGACAUUUAAUUAAGCAAAAUAUGCUCCAACUAAUUUUUAACAUCUGUCUAGCUACAAAUUUAAUUGCUUUCUCGCUAACUAAAGCUAAAGUCUACCUAUCUUCAAAUGCUGUAGUAAACCAACAUGCAAUAAUGUAAUUUUGCCUUACUUAUUCCCAAGAUAGACAGAUCUUCUAUGCUUAACUUCUUGAUAAAGCGCAAACCAGCUUAGAUUUUUAAAUUUGAUGCAUGGUCCCUGUCUCUGUACUUACUCCAUGGAAAAUUAAAUUUGAAGCCAACAUUUUUAAAGAAAAAGACAAUCUUUUACCAUCCUACAAAAUGAAUUUCUAACAUGUGUAUCUUUAUUAUGCAGCUUUGUUACAAGCUCAUAAGGAACUGAGGUUUAAAAAAAAAUAUGAGCAUGACCCAAACAACACAGGACUCCGAGGAGCCUUGGAACAUUUGGAAACUACAGUUCCACAAUAACAGGAAGAGAAAUGAUACUCAUGUGUUACAAUCUACGGUUGUCAUUAAACCAAGGGGUAGCUUCAUAACCACAAGGCUGUCCCUCUCCAAAUCUUGCUAACCACAGAGAAGAAUGUGCACCGUGGAAGAGUGCUGAGCUUGAAGGGAGCCAAUCUCAGUAAUAUUUAAGGAAAAAAUAAAGGUAAUCCUUUUAAAAAAUAAUUCAUAAAAGGGAAUUUUUAUGCCCUAACAAUGAUAUUAAAUGUAUGAGUGGAAAUAAACAGAAUGUGUGUAUCCAUUUUUUUAUACACAUAGACACACAUCCUUAUGCAUACACAACAUUGGGCACAGUCUUAAACUUAUCGAUGACAAAAAAAAAAAAUCUCACUUUAAAACAAGGACACAUGAACAAUAAAAACCCAUAGUCUGACAUAUCAUAUGGGCUAACAAUAAAGACCCUACUCUGUGAGUUCCCGAACUAUACCAGAAAUUGGGAUUGAAAAAUAGGUGCUAUGAAUGAAUGAAAUGAAUGACAACAUUAAUAUUUUG